rnacentral:rRNA from 1 species
GACGAACGCUGGCGGCGUGCUUAACACAUGCAAGUCGAGCGGUAAGGCCCUUUCGGGGGUACACGAGCGGCGAACGGGUGAGUAACACGUGGGUGACCUGCCCUCAGCUCUGGGAUAAGCCUGGGAAACUGGGUCUAAUACCGGAUAUGACUCCAUGACGCAUGUUGUGGGGUGGAAAGCCUUGUGCGGCUGAGGAUGGGCCCGCGGCCUAUCAGCUUGUUGGUGGGGUGANGGCCUACCAAGGCGACGACGGGUAGCCGGCCUGAGAGGGCGACCGGCCACACUGGGACUGAGACACGGCCCAGACUCCUACGGGAGGCAGCAGUGGGGAAUCUUGCGCAAUGGGCGAAAGCCUAACGCAGCGACGCCGCGUGAGGGAUGACGGCCU